GACGAACGCUGGCGGCGUGCUUAACACAUGCAAGUCGAACGGAAAGGCCCUGCUUUUGUGGGGUGCUCGAGUGGCGAACGGGUGAGUAACACGUGAGUAACCUGCCCUUGACUUUGGGAUAACUUCAGGAAACUGGGGCUAAUACCGGAUAGGAGCUCCUGCUGCAUGGUGGGGGUUGGAAAGUUUCGGCGGUUGGGGACGGACUCGCGGCUUAUCAGCUUGUUGGUGGGGUAGUGGCUUACCAAGGCUUUGACGGGUAGCCGGCCUGAGAGGGUGACCGGCCACAUUGGGACUGAGAUACGGCCCAGACUCCUACGGGAGGCAGCAGUGGGGAAUAUUGCACAAUGGGCGGAAGCCUGAUGCAGCAACGCCGCGUGCGGGAUGACGGCCUUCGGGUUGUAAACCGCUUUCGCCUGUGACGAAGCGUGAGUGACGGUAAUGGGUAAAGAAGCACCGGCUAACUACGUGCCAGCAGCCGCGGUGAUACGUAGGGUGCGAGCGUCGUCCGGAUUUAUUGGGCGUAAAGGGCUCGUAGGUGGUUGAUCGCGUCGGAAGUGUAAUCUUGGGGCUUAACCCUGAGCGUGCUUUCGAUACGGGUUGACUUGAGGAAGGUAGGGGAGAAUGGAAUUCCUGGUGGAGCGGUGGAAUGCGCAGAUAUCAGGAGGGACACCAGUGGCGAAGGCGGUUCUCUGGGCCUUUCCUGACGCUGAGGAGCGAAAGCGUGGGGAGCGAACAGGCUUAGAUACCCUGGUAGUCCACGCUGUAAACGGUGGGUACUAGGUGUGGGGUCCAUUCCACGGGUUCCGUGCCGUAGCUAACGCUUUAAGUACCCCGCCUGGGGAGUACGGCCGCAAGGCUAAAACUCAAAGGAAUUGACGGGGCCCCGCACAAGCGGCGGAGCAUGCGGAUUAAUUCGAUGCAACGCGUAGAACCUUACCUGGGUUUGACAUGGAUCGGGAGUGCUCAGAGAUGGGUGUGCCUCUUUUGGGGUCGGUUCACAGGUGGUGCAUGGCUGUCGUCAGCUCGUGUCGUGAGAUGUUGGGUUAAGUCCCGCAACGAGCGCAACCCUUGUUCACUGUUGCCAGCACGUUAUGGUGGGGACUCAGUGGAGACCGCCGGGGUCAACUCGGAGGAAGGUGGGGAUGACGUCAAGUCAUCAUGCCCCUUAUGUCCAGGGCUUCACGCAUGCUACAAUGGCUGGUACAGAGAGUGGCGAGCCUGUGAGGGUGAGCGAAUCUCGGAAAGCCGGUCUCAGUUCGGAUUGGGGUCUGCAACUCGACCUCAUGAAGUCGGAGUCGCUAGUAAUCGCAGAUCAGCAACGCUGCGGUGAAAACGUUCCCGGG
rnacentral:rRNA from 1 species